UACGUGUCGGAUACGACUAACUUGUACUCCGACACAACUUACUUAUACUCUGACACCUAUCAAGUCUGGCAGCGCUAUCAAAAUCAUAUUGUCUCUUCUAACCUAAAAAAAUAGGGUUUCUCGUCACCACAUAGCAAUAGCUAUUCUCUCUUCUAACCAUUACCACUGAUUGAAUUCUACUCUGUUUCUCUUCUCUCUAAUGUUAUGUUUCUUCUGCUGUUUGUUUUUGAUAUAAAUUAGUGUUAACUGUUAAGUAGUCAACAUUAGACAAAGAUGUUUUUUUUUUUUU
rnacentral:lncRNA from 1 species